UACGAAGGGGGCUAGCGUUGUUCGGAAUUACUGGGCGUAAAGCGCGCGCAGGUGGUCUUUCAAGUCAGUGGUGAAAGCCCGGAGCUCAACUCCGGAAAUGCCAUUGAAACUGUAAGACUUGAGGAUGAGAGAGGUGAGUGGAAUUCCCAGUGUAGAGGUGAAAUUCGUAGAUAUUGGGAAGAACACCGGUGGCGAAGGCGGCUCACUGGCUCAUAUCUGACGCUCAGGCGCGACAGCGUGGGGAGUCAAACAGG
rnacentral:rRNA from 1 species